rnacentral:rRNA from 1 species
UCCUACGGGGGGCAGCAGUGGGGAAUAUUGCACAAUGGGCGCAAGCCUGAUGCAGCCAUGCCGCGUGUGUGAAGAAGGCCUUAGGGUUGUAAAGCACUUUCAGCGAGGAGGAAGGGUUCAGUGUUAAUAGCACUGUUCAUUGACGUUACUCGCAGAAGAAGCACCGGCUAACUCUGUG